UUCAGUGUUCAGGUUAUUAACACUUUUAUUGAAAUGCAGAAUUACUCCAGUUUGGUACUUUUCUUUCUAUUAAGCGUUGUGUGGUCGCCUCUGGGUGCACUCACAUGUUGCUGACCCCCCGCCUAUUUUGGAGUUGAGAAAGGAGGGGCUUAACAUAAGUUGUUGGCCCGGCUGUGACCGAAGAGGAAGGUGAUGCAACAGCCAAUAAACCAAAUAUUGGCGGAAAAAAACCCAACAUACAUACAGCAGAACAUCCAAGGCGAAGGACAAGAGCUCACCUGCACGCAUAGAAAAGUUUCUGGAUUAGGGCAGAAUUAACACAAAGCGGCGACGCCACUCCAGCUACACUCGCAAAACAACGCAGAAGAGGCACGAGGGGGGACCGAGACGCCCGAGCGAACGCCACCUCAGAAAAACUUGAAACUUCUGAUAGCGACAGGCGGACGAGUCCAUCCCCAGAGAGAGAGAGAGGCAGCAGAGGCAGAGAGACGGCAGCAGGGGAUCUUUGCCGACAAGGUCCUGAAGGAU